GUAUAUAUGUAUACAUCUUGUCUCUUACCAGUUUUGUUCUGAAAAGAAAAAAAAAAGAGACAAGAUGAGAGAAAAAAAAAGAAAAAAAAUGAAAGAAAAAAAGAAAACAAAAUUGUGAAUAGUGAAGUCAAGAAGAGGAUUGAAUUAGAGGGAUUUGGGUGUGAUUUAACUAUCUUUUGGUUUGUAACUUCUCAUCCAUAUAUUUAUCCUUCCUUUUCUU
rnacentral:lncRNA from 1 species